rnacentral:lncRNA from 1 species
GAGGCACACACACACACCGACAGUCUAACCCAGAUCCUCUUUCCUGUGCUCAAUAGUUUUAUCCAUUAAUGUCUCAGCUAACUAGAAAUGAUAAUUGCAGGGGGGGAACCUUGUUUUGUGGUUCAACAAGAUGUUCACAUCUCCCCUGCCUUUCUGCCCCUCUCUUCUAGAGACGUGGCACAGAAAUAACCUCCUCUGAGGCGAUGCGACAAGUCCUGCCAAGUUUUCCAGGGAGAAGUUAGUAUUGAAUACGAAAGCGUCAAGGAUUGUGAGAUGCUGUAAUCUGGCUGCCCCUGCCUCCCUUUUGGCCCUGAAAGCUUCAAUGAGAACCUCCGCUGUGCCAUCUUUCAGGUGGUGUCCUCUGAGGGCCAGCCUGUGAUGCUACAGGGUGGCCACACAGCUAAUGGGAUGUGCUCAGUGCUGGCUUUUGCAUGUCCCCAGCUGGGGAGAAGAGUAAGAGGAAAGGAUCCAGGGACUGUCUUUUCCAGCUACCAACAAACCUGUAGGCUUCAGUUGGUCCUAAUGCACUGAUGCGGUGGAGUAAGAACGAAGCAGAUAAGACAAGUCCAAACAAGUCCAGAUGGCGGCACAUGCGGGAGGACAUAUGUCCUUAAAGUUGGACUAAGACUUGGAGAUCAACUCAAAAGCAUCGUUCUAGUGACCAUUGUUAGGACUCCAAUGUCUCACCACAGCAGGUGGGACCUACCUGAGACAGACAGAAAAGACCUCAAAAGCCGAGGCUGAGAACAACCAAAUGCACUGAAUAAAGACCCUCUCUGUGGACUAGGCUUGUCCCUG